GACGAAGGGGGCAAGCGUUGUUCGGAAUUACUGGGCGUAAAGCGCGUGUAGGCGGUUGUCCAAGUUGGAUGUGAAAGCCUUGAGCUCAACUCAAGAAAUGCAUUCAGGACUGGGCGGCUAGAGGACCGGAGAGGAUAGUGGAAUUCCCAGUGUAGUGGUGAAAUACGUAGAGAUUGGGAAGAACACCAGUGGCGAAGGCGGCUAUCUGGACGGUUUCUGACACUAAGACUCGAAAGCGUGGGGAGCAAACAGG
rnacentral:rRNA from 1 species